rnacentral:rRNA from 1 species
UACGAAGGGGGCUAGCGUUGUUCGGAAUUACUGGGCGUAAAGCGCGCGCAGGCGGUCUUCCAAGUCAGUGGUGAAAGCCCGGAGCUCAACUCCGGAACUGCCAUUGAUACUGAAGAUCUUGAGUUCGGGAGAGGUGAGUGGAACUGCGAGUGUAGAGGUGAAAUUCGUAGAUAUUCGCAAGAACACCAGUGGCGAAGGCGGCUCACUGGCCCGAUACUGACGCUGAGGCACGAAAGCGUGGGGAGCAAACAGG